ensembl:lncRNA
AUUUCAACGGGAGCCUUUGGCUGAUGUGUUGAUGACAGGUCAGAGAAGGACAAGGAUAAAAGCAGGAAGACCAAUUAAGAGACCACAGGUCUGGCUGGGGCAAGCAUCCCACACUCUGUGUGAACCGUUCCUACUCAGACUCAACCUAGAGGUGCGAGGAAAGAGGGCUUCAGUUCUGCAGUCUCUGCAGUCAGGCCGAUCUGGUUGCCGUUAAUAGCAAACAUUUUGGGGGAAGAAAGAUAGCACCUAUGGCUUCAAGUCUGGAAGCAGUGGGGAGCCUUUGUAGUAGACCACGUGCUCCCUGUUUGAGGAUGAAGAACAAGAACGAAGUUCUGCAGCCAUUUCCCCGCUUCUCAGCCCCAGUCCUUAGCUCAUCGGUGCAAAGACCCCAUUGGCAGCUGUCACAAGCCAAAGCCAGGACACUGUGGCUUGCACUCAGCUACUGAGGAGUCUCUCCCCACCUCCCCUAUGGAGAAGAUGGACCACAGGGGCCUCCCAUCCCCUCCUCCCACAGACGCACAUGACAAGCUCUACAUCAAGUUUGGAGCAAGGCUGAGCCAGGGUCUGACAUACAGGAGAGAAGAUUCCAGAGCAACACAUGGGCCACGCGGACUACACUGGGCCCCAUUCUCAAGACUCGUUAAAUUACAUGUUCCAGAUGAAGCCACAAUGCCACAUUCAGUGCCUGUUCUUGGG